rnacentral:miRNA from 1 species
CGGAACAUAAUGGCCCCUGGGA